UACGUAGGGGGCAAGCGUUGUCCGGAAUCAUUGGGCGUAAAGCGCGUGUAGGCGGUCCGGUAAGUCCGCUGUGAAAGUCGGGGGCUCAACCCUCGGAUGCCGGUGGAUACUGUCGGGCUUGAGUACGGAAGAGGCGAGUGGAAUUCCUGGUGUAGCGGUGAAAUGCGCAGAUAUCAGGAGGAACACCAAUUGCGAAGGCAGCUCGCUGGGACGUUACUGACGCUGAGACGCGAGAGCGUGGGGAGCAAACAGG
rnacentral:rRNA from 1 species